GACGAACGCUGGCGGCGUGCUUAACACAUGCAAGUCGAACGGAAAGGCCUGCUUUCCCUUGUGGAUUGCGGGUACUCGAGUGGCGAACGGGUGUGUAACACGUGAGUGAUCUGCCCCCAACUUGGGAAUAAGCCUGGGAAACUGGGACCAAUUCCCGAUAGCCCUGCAGGGUGGUGCCUGUGGUUGAAAACGAUUUUCUAGUGGUUGGGGAUGAGCUCGCGGCCUAUCAGCUUGUCGGUGGGGUAAUGGCCUACCAAGGCGGCGACGGGUAGCCGGCCUGAGAGGGUGGACGGCCACAUUGGGGCUGGGAUACGGCCAAGACUACUACGGGAGGCAGCAGUGGGGAAUAGUGCACAAUGGGGGGAAGCCUGAGGCAGCGACGCCGCGUGGGGUAUGACGGCCUUCGGGUUGUAAACUCCUUUCGACCGCGGGAAAGCCACCUGGUUGGAAGGGUGGUGGCGGUAGUGGGAGGAGAAGCACCGGGUAACUACGUG
rnacentral:rRNA from 1 species